rnacentral:lncRNA from 1 species
AGUGCCCACCACAACCGUCUAUGCAUCCUGGACCCCAGGCUGGCACUAUACAGGGUGCUGUGUGAUUCCUCACCCUCAUUCUCUGCCUCCACCAAGAGUAAUAGGCUGGGCGUGGUGGCUCACGCCUGUAAUCCCACCACUUUGGGAGGCCGAGGCAGGCGGAUCACUUGAGGUCAGGAGUCCAAGACCAGCCUGGCCAACAAGGCGAAACCCUGUCUCUACUAAAAAUACAAAAACUAGCUGGGCGUAGUGGUGGGCACCUGUAAUCCCAGCUACUCGGGAGGCUGAGACAGGACAAUCGCUUGGACUCCGGAGGCAGAGGUUGCAGUGAGCUGGGAUCGUGCCACUACACUCCAGUCUGG